UUCUUCUGGUAUGAAAUGUCCGAUUUCCCCUGACAGCUCCACAAAGCCUCUUUUCACAGCAAUGACACAGAUCUUUCCCCAAUAUACCUUUUUUUCUGGGAAGGGGAGCCUUAAUCUUUUUGGAUUUGACUCAUAUUAGUUCUGGGAACACAGGUGGCCUUGCACUAGGAGAAAAUUGCCAACAUUCUUUUUUUGGAUCAUUCCAUCGACAUGAAGAACCAGUUCGGCCCAUGUACAAUCAUCUCCCGCAGUCUCAGCAGGAUGCACGGACCAUAGAAGGGGGGUGGGGGGUGAGUGCACCAAGGAAGAAGACAAGUGGCACCAUACUGUCCACUUAGGUAAUUCAAGAUUUGCAACGCCCUCUACUGGAGAAAUGUCAACACAUAAAAACCUGGGCUGUAAUAGGUGAUGGAUGUGUCAUCAGUUAGCGAUGGGUUUUCUUCUCAUCCUUAAACUCAUUGAUUAUUUGGUAGCCUUCUCCUUGAUGUAUCAAUUAAUAAGAUCAAUAAGAUCCCAUUGAUGCUGUGGAAUCUUGAAUCAGGAACAGAACAGAGCUGUGCAGACAUUUUUAUAUCCCAACUAUCAAUUUGAGCAGUAUCUACAACAUACCACUACAAUAUUGUUUUGAGAGAUCCUUUACCUUCCGAUUCCAUGAAAUGUUUUUAGAUUCACGAGUCAACAGGUCACAGAGAGACAGGUCAAGUUGCCAUGGUGAUUGGAUAACCCUUAUCACCCAUUUGAAGCUCUCUGGCACCCUCUACUGAUCAAGUAGGAACAUAGCACUGACACGCCACACCGAAUAAACAAUUAUUAUAAAUCAUACGGUGGGUAUUAAAACUUUUUUUCCAUAUCACACUACUAUAUUAAGCAGAUUGUAAAAACAAUAAAAGUCCAAUUGCAAUAAAUUUGUAAAUGACAUACAUUUAUUUUUUUCUGCUAAUUGCCUUCAGUUUAUAGCAUGGAUUGCUCUUGGCAAUAUUUAAGCUAUUUUAUUGAUUCAUUGUUACACAGUGCAUGCAUUUCUAAUGGAAUAGAAAAAGAUUUCUGAAGGUUCUGAACUCCAGUUUUCAAGCCAGUGUGACAUGGAGUGCAAUAACGUUGCCUGAAAGGCAUGGAUGUUGCUCAACUUCUCAUAGCUGGCCUGUUCUUAAUAAUUCUUCUUAAGACCACAAACUGAGGCUGUAUCUUAGUUACAGCCAACUACAAAUAAGUAGUGUAAGGGUUUGUUUUUAAUUCCACUCAAUCGACAAAAUUCUUCAAAUAAUUCAUUCUGACUUACUUUAGAAAAUAGCCUCGUUAAAACACCAGACCCAUAUGUAAGUUCAUCAAUAUAUUUAAUCUAUCUAAACAACAAUUGUAACAUAACAUGUAAUAUUUCCAAAAUCUUGAUGUAAUUUCCGACAAAAAUGCAAUAAAACGCAAUGAAAACAUCCACAUAAACCUGAUCUAUUGGAGGAUCAAACGGGGGAAAAAAAAUCUUACUUUAAAAACAAUCCAAUUCAUAAAAAAUGCAUGAGGGCGGCCCCAGCAAGGAGCACAGAGUUUCAUCAUGAACCCAAUGACACCAAAAGCUGCAGUAGCAACAACACUCGCUAGACGGCGACAUUCUGCUUUGAAAUCUCCAAAAGUCAGCCAGCCUCGGACUCAGAUUGCAUGUGGGAGGGAAUUAUUUAUUUGGGCAUUUAAAAAGAGCAAACAGCACGUCGUGGUUUCACUUCAGGUCUAGCGGGCGAGGCUACAUAAGUCUGACAGCUUUAAUGACAGAUGGAGCCAGAGCAGCAAACACAAGCAGAUGUCUGUGCUCACUGAUCUAAUCAACAGUGCAAGACCUCCUUUGCUAUAAAGAGCAACAAAAAAAAAAACUCUCAGGAGAUGGAGAAAGUAGAGAUGGAACACACAGACAGAAAGGAGGGUGA